UACGAAGGGGGCUAGCGUUGCUCGGAAUUACUGGGCGUAAAGCGCACGUAGGCGGAUUGUUAAGUCGGGGGUGAAAUCCUGGAGCUCAACUCCAGAACUGCCUUUGAUACUGAAGAUCUUGAGUCCGGGAGAGGUGAGUGGAACUGCGAGUGUAGAGGUGAAAUUCGUAGAUAUUCGCAAGAACACCAGUGGCGAAGGCGGCUCACUGGCCCGGUACUGACGCUGAGGCACGAAAGCGUGGGGAGCAAACAGG
rnacentral:rRNA from 1 species